UCAAAAGAUUCAACAUUCAUUUUAUUGGUUUGGUUUUUUGAGUACAGUGGUUAUUUUCAGCCAUUCUGGCAUUCACAGAGAAAACAAAAAACACAAAACUGGAAACAAGAAAUAGCUUUCUGAUAAUAGCUCUGGCUCAGUCUAGUCGUUAUGACAAUAACAACAACUCUGUGUACCUGAUCAACAACACAGACACAUAACACAUAAACGUGAAAAAAACGGUCCAAAAAUGGCACUAAUAAUACUUUUGAAAUUCUGUGUGGUUUAUAAAAAGGACAUAUCUAUUUACAUUCAAUUUGAAUAAUUAUCAUUUGGGAAAAAACUAAAACAUAUACCGUAUGAGAGUGACAUAUUAAGAGAAAUAAAACACUGAUUAUUCAAACUUGAGAUAAAAUAUAUAUAAUAUAAAUUAUACUAUCAGAGUAGGUUCCAUUAUGUAGUUCAAGUGCUAUUAAUAGGAAUAUACAGGGGACCUCUGCCAUAGGCAACACGAGGCAGCCAUUUUGGCUCCCCUGUGAGAGUGGCAUAACUCAAGGUGCAGCUCAGAGGUCAGAGUAAUAGGUCAAAUGUUACAGGGUUCAGUCAUAGCUCCGCCUCUGAGACACAGUAAUAAGUGGUUAGUACAGAGUACAGACAUGGAGUGAAGGGGAGGGGACGUAACCUGGGCAAAGCAGAUUUCCACCCUAUCACUCCUGGGUAACUGAAGUUAAGAUAAGAUACUUGGUUUAAUACAAAGUGUUCUCUUUUGUCUUUGUCCAUGACAUCCUCUACUAGUUGCUGUGUAGUUAGAGGGUGAAGGAUGGAGAGGGUACUGGUAAAGAGGGCACACGAGGCCAGUGCUUGUUCCUUAUUGGUUGAGAGGGUUUGUCACCCCAUGCAGCGCUGUUGUUCCAUGUAGAGGUCUGAAAUAACAGUUCAGUUCUGACUGUCUCCUUUCACACAAUGAGACAUCAACAGAAUUAUAGUCAGGGGACGUCAAGCUGAAGAAGUGGAGUCCAGCUGAUGAUGUCAUCAUCCAGGCUGGUCAGAGGAUGACCAACGAAGUGACGACCAAUGAAGAUAAUUUAGAGACACUGACUGACCGUGUGUUUGUGAGAGCUAACCUAAUGCACUGCCCACUAACCACCAUCACAUAUAAAACAUAUUCUACUUAGAACAGGAAAAAAAUCAUUAUCAUUAGCAGCUUCAUCUACGACUCUCAUUUGAAAAAUAGAAACAUUUGUCAUUUUUCAUAUACAAAAAUAUCUGUAAAAUUACUAUGCAUAUCUCCAUGUGGACGGGUUGUACUCUACAGUGAUUUGGUGUGUGUGUGUGUGUGUGUUAGAUAGUAGUGGGUGUUAGUGAGAGAGGUGGCACUGCGUGUGCAUGCGUGUCUUGACGUAUUCAUCAGAGCAUGUGUGUACUUGCUAGAACGCUCUUUACCUGCUCUACCUCUUAUCUCAUCCCCCUUCCCUUUCACACACCUUCUCUCCCUCCCUGUCCCUCCAUGUGCUGCUCACCUCUGCUAUCUGACUGUCUCUCCCUCUCUCUCUCUUUCUGUCUUUUCUCCCAUCCCCCAUCUGUCCAGGUAGGUGAGGAGGGGUGUGUUGGGGCAGGUGGUGCUAGCAGACGGUCUGUUGGCUGGACAGGGGGCUCUCCAGAGACAUGCUGGUGGGAGACAGGUCUGGACGGUUGUUCUUAAACAUGGAGGAAAUAUAGAAGGCCUGGAGAGAGACACAGAUAUAACACUUUCCGUCAAACACAGAUACAUAGAGAUGGAACACUUUCCGUCAAACACAGAUACAUAGAGAUGGAACACUUUCCGUCAAACACAGAUACA
rnacentral:lncRNA from 1 species